AUUGAACGCUGGCGGCAUGCCUUACACAUGCAAGUCGAACGGUAACGGGCCUUCGGGUGCCGACGAGUGGCGAACGGGUGAGUAAUACAUCGGAACGUGCCCGAUCGUGGGGGAUAACGAGGCGAAAGCUUUGCUAAUACCGCAUACGAUCUACGGAUGAAAGCAGGGGACCGCAAGGCCUUGCGCGGACGGAGCGGUCGAUGGCAGAUUAGGUAGUUGGUGGGCUAAAAGCUUACCAAGCCGACGAUCUGUAGCUGGUCUGAGAGGAUGAUCAGCCACACUGGGACUGAGACACGGCCCAGACUCCUACGGGAGGCAGCAGUGGGGAAUUUUGGACAAUGGGCGCAAGCCUGAUCCAGCCAUGCCGCGUGCAGGAUGAAGGCCUUCGGGUUGUAAACUGCUUUUGUACGGAACGAAAAGCCUUCUUUUAAUACAGGAGGGUCAUGACGGUACCGUAAGAAUAAGCACCGGCUAACUACGUG
rnacentral:rRNA from 1 species